rnacentral:rRNA from 1 species
UACGUAGGGUGCGAGCGUUGUCCGGAAUUAUUGGGCGUAAAGAGCUCGUAGGCGGUGUGUCGCGUCGGCCGUGAAAACCUGGGGCUUAACUCUGGGCGUGCGGUCGAUACGGGCAUCACUAGAGUUCGGCAGGGGAGACUGGAAUUCCUGGUGUAGCGGUGAAAUGCGCAGAUAUCAGGAGGAACACCGGUGGCGAAGGCGGAUCUCUGGGCCAUUACUGACGCUGAGGAGCGAAAGCGUGGGGAGCGAACAGG